rnacentral:tRNA from 1 species
AAACAGGUAAGCUAAUUAAGCUUUUGGGUUCAUACCCCAACUAUGAAGGUUACACACCUUCCCUUUUUA